CCUCGUUCCACGCAUCGGCCAUCCUCGUUUCCUGCAUUGUACACGCCCUUAUCCGCGACCCCGCCGCCAGCCUUAUCCUCCCCUCUGCCGUGUUCCCCUUCUCAUCCUCUUCUUCCUCGAGCACGAGCAGAGCAGAGCCGCCCUCGCCGGCGCCCCGACCAACCUCGGCCGCCGCUCCUCGAUUCCGCUCGCCCACGGCCUCCUCACCUCGCCCUCUGUCUCCCCCGCCCCUCACCGGACUCGAUUGAGCCCAAUCCCGGUCGGAAUCGACCUCGCGCCCCGCCGACCUCCAUUGACGCUGCCGCGAGAAGCUCCGUUGCCGGCCGCGAUUCGUCGUCUCCGGCGCCCCGGCGGAGCUUGCCGUCCGCCGCCGCCUAGCGCCGUCGCGCCGCCUCUCCGCCGCCGUUCCCCGUCCGCGCCGCUGCUGUGACUGAAUCAUCGGAGGUUGAACCCGUGGAGCCCGUCGAGUCCGUUGAGCCCGAGCCUAGAGUCCCGUUCGCGGUCGAUCCCGAAGUUAACCAA